rnacentral:tRNA from 1 species
UGGUCCAUAGCUCAAUGGUAGAGUACCGCACUUUUAAUGCGGGAGUUCCGGGUUCGAGCCCCGGUGGGCCAA